rnacentral:rRNA from 1 species
UGGGGAAUUUUGGACAAUGGGCGCAAGCCUGAUCCAGCAAUGCCGCGUGCAGGAUGAAGGCCUUCGGGUUGUAAACUGCUUUUGUACGGAACGAAACGGUCUUUUCUAAUACAGAAGGCUAAUGACGGUACCGUAAGAAUAAGCACCGGCUAACUACGUGCCAGCAGCCGCGGUAAUACGUAGGGUGCGAGCGUUAAUCGGAAUUACUGGGCGUAAAGCGUGCGCAGGCGGUUUUGUAAGACAGAGGUGAAAUCCCCGGGCUCAACCUGGGAACUGCAUUUGUGACUGCAUAGCUGGAGUGCGGCAGAGGGGGAUGGAAUUCCGCGUGUAGCAGUGAAAUGCGUAGAUAUGCGGAGGAACACCGAUGGCGAAGGCAAUCCCCUGGGCCUGCACUGACGCUCAUGCACGAAGGCGUGGGGAGCAAACA